CCGAGAAUAUUCGACAAUGGGCGAAAGCCUGAUCGAGCGACGCCGCGUGGUUGAUGAAGUCCUUCGGGACGUAAAAACCUUUUAUGAUCAGAAAAGUUUAUUGAUUCGAUCAUGAAUAAGGGGCUACCAACUCUGUGCCAGCAGUAGCGGUAAUACAGAGGCCCCAAGCGUUAUCCGGAAUCACUGGGCGUAAAGGGUGUGUAGGCGGUUAUGUUAGUCGCUUUUCAAAUCUCCCGGCCUAACCGGGAAAAGGGAAGCGAAACGGCAUAACUUGAGGAGGUGAGAGGUACAUGGAACUCAUGGAGUAGGGGUGAAAUCCGUUGAUAUCAUGGGGAACACCAAAAGCGAAGGCAGUGUACUGGCGCCUUCCUGACGCUGAAACACGAAAGCGUAGGUAGCG
rnacentral:rRNA from 1 species